rnacentral:rRNA from 1 species
GAUGAACGCUGGCGGCGUGCCUAAUACAUGCAAGUCGAGCGAACAGACGAGGAGCUUGCUCCUCUGACGUUAGCGGCGGACGGGUGAGUAACACGUGGAUAACCUACCUAUAAGACUGGGAUAACUUCGGGACACCGGAGCUAAUACCGGAUAAUAUAUUGAACCGCAUGGUUCAAUAGUGAAAGACGGUUUUGCUGUCACUUCUAGAUGGAUCCGCGCCGCAUUAGCUAGUUGGUAAGGUAACGGCUUACCAAGGCAACGAUGCGUAGCCGACCUGAUAGGGUGAUCGGCCACACUGGAGCGGAGACACGCUCCAUACUCCUACGGGAGGCAGCAGUAGGGAAUCUUCCGCAAUGGGCGAAAGCCUGACGGAGCAACGCCGCGUGAGUGAUGAAGGUCUUCGGAGCGUAAAACUCUGUUAUUAGGGAAGAACAAAUGUGUAAGUAACUAUGCACGUCUUGACGGUACCUAAUCAGAAAGCCACGGCUAACUACGUG